rnacentral:lncRNA from 1 species
AAUGGACAAACGUUAUAUACGAAUGGAUGUUAACUAUCAAAGGGCAAAAGUUAUUUCAUGAAUGGAUGGAGGUGAUGUACGAAUGGACAGGCAUUAUUUUAUGAAUGGAGGACGUUGUUGUACGAAUGAACAAAUGUUAAAUAUGAAUGGACAAACAUCAUAUAUGAAUGGACAUAUUUUAUGAAUGGACGGAUGUUAUAUGUGAGUGGACAGGCAUUAUUUUGUGAAUGGACAGACAUAUGAAUGGACAGACAUCACAUAUGAACGGACAUGGUGUUUUAUGAAUGGACAGACGUUGUUUUAUGAAUGGACGGAUGUUAUAUGUGAAUGGCAGACAUCAUAUAUGAAUGAAUAAAUCAUAUACGAAUGGACAGAUAUAUGAAUGAAUGGAUGGAUCUUACAUAUGAAUGGACAGAUCAUAUAUGAAUGGACGUUAUUUGGGAAUGCUGGAUGUUAUAUAUGAAUGGACACACUAUUUUAUGAAUGGACAGGCAUUACUUUAUGAAUGGAUGGACAUCGUAUAUGAAUGGACAGACAUUAUUUUGUGAAUGGACAGACAUCAUUUUAUGAUGGCUGGAUGUUAUAUAUGAAUGGACAGACACCAUAUAUGAAUGGACAGACAUCAUAUAUGAAUGGACAGACGUUAUUUUGUGAAUGGAUGGACGUUAUAUAUGAAUGGAUGGACAUCAUUUUAUGAUGGCUGGAUGUUAUACAUGAAUGGACAGACGUUAUUUUGUGAAUGGACAGACAUGUAUGAAUGGACAGACGUUAUUUUGUGAAUGGAUGGACGUUAUACAUGAAUGGACAGACAUCAUUUUGUGAAUGGAUGGACGUUAUACAUGAAUGGACAGACGUUAUUUUGUGAAUGGACGGC